rnacentral:rRNA from 1 species
UGGGGAAUUUUGGACAAUGGGCGCAAGCCUGAUCCAGCCAUGCCGCGUGAGUGAAGAAGGCCUUCGGGUUGUAAAGCUCUUUCGGCGGGGAAGAAAUAGCGUGGGUUAAUACCCUGCGUUGAUGACGGUACCCGCAUAAGAAGCACCGGCUAACUACGUGCCAGCAGCCGCGGUAAUACGUAGGGUGCGAGCGUUAAUCGGAAUUACUGGGCGUAAAGCGUGCGCAGGCGGUUGUAUAAGUCAGAUGUGAAAUCCCCGGGCUCAAACUGGGAACUGCAGUUGAGACUGUACGGCUAGAGUUUGGCAGAGGGGGGUGGAAUUCCACGUGUAGCAGUGAAAUGCGUAGAGAGGUGGAGGAACACCGAUGGCGAAGGCAGCCCCCUGGGCCAAUACUGACGCUCAUGCACGAAAGCGUGGGGAGCAAACA